rnacentral:misc_RNA from 1 species
GAUGAAGAACGUAGCGAAAUGCGAUACGUAAUGUGAAUUGCAGAAUUCAGUGAAUCAUCGAAUCUUUGAACGCAUAUUGCGCUCUCUGGUAUUCCGGAGAGCAUGCUUGUUUGAGUAUCAGUAAACACCUCAACUUCCAUAUCUUUUUUGAAAUGGGAGUUGGACUUGAGUGAUCCCAACGCUUUUCCUCACCGAAAAGUGGCGGGUUACUUGAAAUGCAGGUGCAGCUGGACUUUUCUCUGAGCUAUAAGCAUAUCUAUUUAGUCUGCCUAAAAAACAGAUUAUUACCUUUGCUGCAGCUAACAUAAAGGAGAUUAGUUCUUGUGCUGACUGAUGCAGGAUUCACAAAGACAGGCUUCGGCCGACUUUGUAAACUCGAUCUCAAAUCAAGUAAGACUACCCGCUGAACUUAAGCAUAUCAAUAAGCGGAA